UACGUAGGGGGCAAGCGUUGUCCGGAUUUAUUGGGCGUAAAGAGCUCGUAGGCGGUUCGAUAAGUCGGGUGUGAAAACUCUGGGCUCAACUCAGAGACGCCACCCGAUACUGUUGUGACUUGAGUCCGGUAGGGGAGUAUGGAAUUCCCGGUGUAGCGGUGAAAUGCGCAGAUAUCGGGAGGAACACCAGUGGCGAAGGCGGUACUCUGGGCCGGAACUGACGCUGAGGAGCGAAAGCGUGGGUAGCGAACAGG
rnacentral:rRNA from 1 species